AAAAGACAUAGAAUGGCUGAAUGUAUUUUUAAAAAUCUAUCUAUAUGCUGUCUACAAGAAGCUAAUUUCAGAUUUAGAUUUAGGUUAAGAAGAAAGUGAAGGGGUGGAAAAGAUAUUCAUGUAAAUGAUAAUCAAAAGAGUGCAGGGAUGGUGAUACUUACAUCAGACAAAAUAGAUUUUAAGUCAAAACUGUCACAAGAGUAAAAGAGGAC
rnacentral:lncRNA from 1 species